GGUAUAGCUCAGUGGUAGAGCACUUGCCUCCCAUGUGUGAGGCCCUGGGUUUGAUCCCCAGAACCA
rnacentral:tRNA from 1 species